AUUGAACGCUGGCGGCAUGCCUAACACAUGCAAGUCGAACGGUAACAGGUCUGGCUUGCUAGAUGCUGACGAGUGGCGGACGGGUGAGUAAUGCAUAGGAAUCUGCCCAGUAGCGGGGGACAACUCGGGGAAACUCGAGCUAAUACCGCAUACGCCCUACGGGGGAAAGCGGGGGUACCUUCGGGCCUCGCACUAUUGGAUGAGCCUAUGUCUGAUUAGCUAGUUGGUGGGGUAACGGCCUACCAAGGCGACGAUCAGUAGCUGGUCUGAGAGGACGAUCAGCCACACUGGAACUGAGACACGGUCCAGACUCCUACGGGAGGCAGCAGUGGGGAAUAUUGGACAAUGGGGUCAACCCUGAUCCAGCAAUGCCGCGUGUGUGAAGAAGGCCUGCGGGUUGUAAAGCACUUUUCAGUAGAGAAGAAUUUGCUGGGGAUUAAUACUCCUCAGGCUUGACUUAACCUACAGAAGAAGCACCGGCUAACUCCGUGCCAGCAGCCGCGGUAAUACGGAGGGUGCGAGCGUUAAUCGGAAUUACUGGGCGUAAAGCGCACGUAGGCGGUUUAGUAAGUCGGAUGUGAAAUCCCCGGGGCUUAACCUGGGGAAUUGCAUUCGAUACUGCUAGGCUAGAGUAUGGUAGAGGGGUAGUGGAAUUCCGGGUGUAGCGGUGAAAUGCGUAGAUAUCCGGAGGAAC
rnacentral:rRNA from 1 species